GAUUCGAGUAAAAUAAUUCUGAAGCUCAGACCCCCGGAAAUAUGUCAAGAUUUCCUGCCAGUCUGGUGGAUUCUUAAAUCGGCCCAAAUUGGGUUUCAGUUUCCCAGCCAACACUUUAAGGGCAGUCGAUUUUCCAAUACCAUUGGUUCCAACCAAGCCUAGAACUUGUCCAGGUCUUGGAACUGGCAACCUGUGAAGUUUGAAAGUGUUUGGUCCGUAACGAUGAGUUGUAUCUUUAUCUAAAUCCUUGGGUAAAUUGAUAAUCUGAAUGGCUUCAAAUGGGCAUUUCUUCACACAGAUUCCGCACCCAAUGCACAGUUCUUCUGAUAUAAACGCGAUCUUAGACACAGGGGCAACCUCAAUACAAAGCUUUCCUGUUUUCACAACAGGACAGCUCUUCUUGCAUUCCUGCCGGCACUUCUUCGGCUUGCAGCGAUCGGAGCUGACGAUGGCGAUCCUAGUGAGCCGAUCCGACAUCGCGCUAAUGGAUCAA
rnacentral:misc_RNA from 1 species